rnacentral:rRNA from 1 species
UGGGGAAUAUUGCACAAUGGGCGCAAGCCUGAUGCAGCCAUGCCGCGUGUGUGAAGAAGGCCUUCGGGUUGUAAAGCACUUUCAGCGAGGAGGAAGGUGGUGAACUUAAUACGUUCAUCAAUUGACGUUACUCGCAGAAGAAGCACCGGCUAACUCCGUGCCAGCAGCCGCGGUAGUACGGAGGGUGCAAGCGUUAAUCGGAAUUACUGGGCGUAAAGCGCACGCAGGCGGUUUGUUAAGUCAGAUGUGAAAUCCCCGGGCUCAACCUGGGAACUGCAUUUGAAACUGGCAAGCUAGAGUCUCGUAGAGGGGGGUAGAAUUCCAGGUGUAGCGGUGAAAUGCGUAGAGAUCUGGAGGAAUACCGGUGGCGAAGGCGGCCCCCUGGACGAAGACUGACGCUCAGGUGCGAAAGCGUGGGGAGCAAACAGGAUUAGAUACCCUGGUAGUCCACGCUGUAAACGAUGUCGAUUUGGAGGUUGUGCCCUUGAGGCGUGGCUUCCGGAGCUAACGCGUUAAAUCGACCGCCUGGGGAGUACGG